CAUCAGAAACAAUUCCUUCCCCAGAGCAUUACUGAUCUAAGUGAAGACUAAGGACAGCCAAGAGUGACCUUUCUAUGAUUGAGUCUUUGAGGGCUCUGAAAAUGUAACCUGUGUUUGGGCCUGAAGGUCUUUGUUUUACUUCAAAUGGACUGUUGGAGAAGCAGGAUGAGUAGAAAAAUUGGACCUGGGACUCUUGAGCUCUUACCUCUGCCUUGGGAACAGGGAUGGUGCAAGGUGCUGAGCCGGGGACCCAGGAGCCUGCAGGCCUUGCCCUGCCAAAGGAGGGCAGAAUUCGAUCUUCAUAGUUGUGAAGGGCUGACAGCACUAAAAGUAGAGUGGAGAGAAAAAGUACCAGGGCUACUUUGA
rnacentral:lncRNA from 1 species